rnacentral:rRNA from 1 species
UACGGAGGGGGCUAGCGUUAUUCGGAAUUAUUGGGCGUAAAGGGCGCGUAGGCGGCUCGACGUGUCCAAGGUGAAAUCCCUCGGCUCAACUGAGGAACUGCCUUGGAAACUGUCGAGCUUGAGGCCGGGAGGGGGUAGCGGAAUUCCCAGUGUAGCGGUGAAAUGCGUAGAUAUUGGGAGGAACACCAGUGGCGAAGGCGGCUACCUGGACCGGUUCUGACGCUGAUGUGCGAAAGCGUGGGUAGCAAACAGG